rnacentral:misc_RNA from 1 species
UCGAGUUUUGAAAGGAGUUGUAGCUGGCCUCUCGGGGCAUGUGCACGCUCCGCUCAUUUCCAACUCUAACACCUGUGAACUAGCUGUAGGUCGGUUAGGAGUGGGCCUUUGCGGGUCCCUUCGCGCCUUCCUAUGUCUUUAACAAACUCUUGUCGUAUCAGAAUGUAUUCGCGCUUUAUAAACGCAUCAAUA